rnacentral:rRNA from 1 species
CGUUGGCGGCACGCUUUAGACAUGCAAGUCGAACGAGAAAGCACUUCGGUGUGAGUACAGUGGCGGACGGGUGAGUAACGCGUAGGAAUCUACCUAGUAGUGGGGGACAACUCGGGGAAACUCGAGCUAAUACCGCAUACGCUCUUAGGAGGAAAGUGGGGGAUCUUCGGACCUCACGCUAUUAGAGGAGCCUGCGUUAGAUUAGCUAGUUGGUGAGGUAAAAGCUCACCAAGGCGACGAUCUAUAGCUGGUCUGAGAGGACGAUCAGCCACACUGGAACUGAGACACGGUCCAGACUUCUACGGAAGGCAGCAGUCAGGAAUAUUGGGCAAUGGGCGAAAGCCUGACCCAGCGAUGCCGCGUGUGUGAAGAAGGCCCUAGGGUUGUAAAGCACUUUCAGUCGUGAAGAAAAGCAUUGGGUUAAUACCCCGAUGUGUUGACGUUAACGACAGAAGAAGUACCGGCUAACUCCGUGCCAGCAGCCGCGGUAAUACGGAGGGUACGAACGUUAAUCGGAAUUACUGGGCGUAAAGCGCGCGUAGGCGGUUUGAUAAGUGGGAUGUGAAAGCCCCGGGCUCAACCUGGGAACUGCAUUCCAAACUGUCAGACUAGAGUGUGGUAGAGGGAGGUAGAAUUUCCUGUGUAGCGGUGAAAUGCGUAGAUAUAGGAAGGAAUACCGAUGGCGAAGGCAGCCUCCUGGACCAACACUGACGCUGAGGUGCGAAAGCGUGGGGAGCAAACAGGAUUAGAUACCCUGGUAGUCCACGCCGUAAACGAUGAGAACUAGCCGUUGGGGCCUUUAAGGCUUUGGUGGCGCAGCUAACGCGAUAAGUUCUCCGCC